rnacentral:rRNA from 1 species
UACGUAGGGGGCUAGCGUUGUCCGGAAUCAUUGGGCGUAAAGAGCGCGUAGGCGGCCAGAUAAGUCCGGUGUGAAAGUCACAGGCUCAACCUGUGAAUGCCGCUGGAAACUGUCUGGCUAGAGUCCGGAAGGGGCGAGUGGAAUUCCUGGUGUAGCGGUGAAAUGCGCAGAUAUCAGGAGGAACACCAAUGGCGAAGGCAGCUCGCUGGGACGGUACUGACGCUGAGGCGCGAAAG